AAGUGUGCAGCCUUGUCUAUUCUAUACAGUAUAACUGUAUAAUGUCGACUGGUUAGGCUAUUCUGACUAUCUCCAUGUCUUAUGCUACCAGCCAGAGGCCACACCAGUCCCCUGUAACAUAGGCAUAUACCAGUCAGCUAUGGAACCGUGUUACAGCAUAGUUUAUUAGGUUUUUAUCAGUGCAAAGCAUAGGCCUAAAUCACUUAGCCUAAUGGUAUUACUACAUAGCUACAGCAUAGGAGGAACUGUUGCUGCUAUUGGAUACACGUUUGAUUCUACAUGAUGAACUGGACAUAGAAUGUAAUAGAAUAGAAUAGAAUAGAAUAGAAUGUAAUAGAAUAGAAUGUAAUAUAAUAGAAUGUAAUAGAAUAGAAUGUAAUAGAAUAGAAUGUAAUAGAAUAGAAUAGAAUAGAGGUGAUUGUCUUCACGGGAGGAAAUUCUUUCCCACAAGUACAUUCUACUCCAACAACCAACACCAUCACCCAGACAUUUAUAAGUACACCUCUAGUUCCCAAUACCCCAACACCAUCACCCAGACAUUUACAAGUACACCUCCAGUUCCCAAUAGCCCAACACCAUCACCCAGACAUUUACAAGUACAUUCUACUCCAACAACCAACACCAUCACCCAGACAUUUACAAGUACACCUCUAGUUCCCAUUACCCCAACACCAUCACCCAGACAUUUACAAGUACACCUCCAGUUCCCAAUUCCCCAACACCAUCACCCAGACAUUUACAAGUACACCUCUAGUUCCCAAUACCCCAACACCAUCACCCAGACAUUUACAAGUACAUUCUACUCCAACAACCAACACCAUCACCCAGACAUUUACAAGUACAUUCUACUCCAACAACCAACACCAUCACCCAGACAUUUACAAGUACACCUCCAGUUCCCAAUACCCCAACACCAUCACCCAGACAUUUAUAAGUACACCUCCAGUUCCCAAUAUCCCAACACCAUCACCCAGACAUUUACAAGUACACCUCCAGUUCCCAAUACCCCAACACCAUCACCCAGACAUUUACAAGUACACCUCUAGUUCCCAAUACCCCAACACCAUCACCCAGACAUUUACAAGUACACCUCUAGUUCCCAAUACCCCAACACCAUCACCCAGACAUUUACAAGUACACCUUCAGUUCCCAAUACCCCAACACCAUCACCCAGACAUUUACAAGUACACCUUCAGUACCCAAUACCCCAACACCAUCACCCAGACAUUUACAAGUACACCUCUAGUUCCCAAUACCCCAACACCAUCACCCAGACAUUUACAAGUACACCUUCAGUUCCCAAUACCCCAACACCAUCACCCAGACAUUUACAAGUACACCUUCAGUUCCCAAUACCCCAACACCAUCACCCAGACAUUUACAAGUACACCUUCAGUUCCCAACAGUCCAACACCAUCACCCAGACAUUUACAAGUACACCUCCAGUUCCCAACAGUCCAACACCAUCACCCAGACAUUUACAAGUACACCUCCAGUUCCCAACAGUCCAACACCAUCACCCAGACAUUUACAAGUACACCUCCAGUUCCCAAUAGCCCAACACCAUCACCCAGACAUUUACAAGUACACCUCCAGUUCCCAAUACCCCAACACCAUCACCCAGACAUUUACAAGUACACCUCCAGUUCCCAACAGUCCAACACCAUCACCCAGACAUUUACAAGUACACCUCCAGUUCCCAAUACCCCAACACCAUCACCCAGACAUUUACAAGUACACCUUCAGUUCCCAACAGUCCAACACCAUCACCCAGACAUUUACAAGUACACCUCCAGUUCCCAAUACCCCAACACCAUCACCCAGACAUUUACAAGUACACCUCCAGUUCCCAAUACCCCAACACCAUCACCCAGACAUUUACAAGUACACCUUCAGUUCCCAAUACCCCAACACCAUCACCCAGACAUUUACAAGUACACCUUCAGUUCCCAAUACCCCAACACCAUCACCCAGACAUUUACAAGUACACCUCCAGUUCCCAAUACCCCAACACCAUCACCCAGACAUUUACAAGUACACCUUCAGUACCCAAUACCCCAACACCAUCACCCAGACAUUUACAAGUACACCUCCAGUUCCCAAUACCCCAACACCAUCACCCAGACAUUUACAAGUACACCUCCAGUUCCCAAUACCCCAACACA
rnacentral:lncRNA from 1 species